UACGGAGGAUCCGAGCGUUAUCCGGAUUUAUUGGGUUUAAAGGGAGCGUAGGUGGAUUGUUAAGUCAGUUGUGAAAGUUUGCGGCUCAACCGUAAAAUUGCAGUUGAAACUGGCAGUCUUGAGUACAGUAGAGGUGGGCGGGAUUCGUGGUGUAGCGGUGAAAUGCUUAGAUAUCACGAAGAACUCCGAUUGCGAAGGCAGCUCACUGGACUGCAACUGACACUGAGGCUCGAAAGUGUGGGUAUCAAACAGG
rnacentral:rRNA from 1 species